GAUUUCCUGAGUAGCGGCGAGCGAAACGGAAAGAGCCCAAACCAAGAAGCUUGCUUCUUGGGGUUGUAGGACACUCUAUACGGAGUUACAAAAGAAAGUUAUAAAUGAAGCGGUCUGGAAAGGCCCGCCAAAGACGGUAACAGCCCGGUAGUUGAAAUGGCUUUCUCUCCAGAGUGGAUCCUGAGUACGGCGGAACACGUGAAAUUCCGUCGGAAUCCGGGAGGACCAUCUCCCAAGGCUAAAUACUCCCUAGUGACCGAUAGUGAACCAGUACCGUGAGGGAAAGGUGAAAAGCACCCCGGAAGGGGAGUGAAACAGUUCCUGAAACCGUGUGCCUACAAGUAGUUAGAGCCCGUUAAUGGGUGAUAGCGUGCCUUUUGUAGAAUGAACCGGCGAGUUACGAUUUGUUGCAAGGUUAAGCGGAAAAAGCGGAGCCGUAGCGAAAGCGAGUCUGAAUAGGGCGCAUAAGUAACAGGUCGUAGACCCGAAACCAGGUGAUCUACCCAUGUCCAGGAUGAAGGUAAGGUAAUACUUACUGGAGGUCCGAACCCACGCACGUUGAAAAGUGCGGGGAUGAGGUGUGGGUAGCGGAGAAAUUCCAAUCGAACUUGGAGAUAGCUGGUUCUCUCCGAAAUAGCUUUAGGGCUAGCCUCGAGGUAAAGAGUCAUGGAGGUAGAGCACUGUUUGGACUAGGGGCCCUUCUCGGGUUACCGAAUUCAGAUAAACUCCGAAUGCCAUGUACUUAUACUCGGGAGUCAGACUGCGAGUGAUAAGAUCCGUAGUCGAAAGGGAAACAGCCCAGACCACCAGUUAAGGUCCCCAAAUAUAUGUUAAGUGGAAAAGGAUGUGGGGUUGCUUAGACAACCAGGAUGUUGGCUUAGAAGCAGCCACCAUUGAAAGAGUGCGUAAUAGCUCACUGGUCGAGUGACCCCGCGCCGAAAAUGUACCGGGGCUAAACAUAUUACCGAAACUGUGGAUGAACCUCUUUAGAGGUUCGUGGUAGGAGAGCGUUCUAAGGGCGGUGAAGUCAGACCGGAAGGACUGGUGGAGCGCUUAGAAGUGAGAAUGCCGGUAUGAGUAGCGAAAGAAGGGUGAGAAUCCCUUCCACCGAAUAUCUAAGGUUUCCUGAGGAAGGCUCGUCCGCUCAGGGUUAGUCGGGACCUAAGCCGAGGCCGAUAGGCGUAGGCGAUGGACAACAGGUAGAGAUUCCUGUACCAGUGCUAAUUGUUUAACCGAUGGGGUGACACAGAAGGAUAGGGAAUCGCACGAAUGGAAAUGUGCGUCCAAGCAGUGAGUGUGAGA
rnacentral:rRNA from 1 species